CCCUCGCGAUGUGGAGCAUAUGAGGAUGGGAAACAACGGAAUAAAGUGUUUAAUCUUACGCACAAAAUGUGUUUUGUAAUGUAAUGUCGUUUUAUAAUGAUAUUAAUGUGCUGUAUGCCGCUAAACUUUUCUCAAAUAUAUAUAAUUUUUUUACUCGCGAUGCGGAACAGACGAGAGCUGUGUACUCCUGAACUUCUUCCCAGAGAGAUAACGUUAUUUCCUUUCCUUGCAAUGUGGAGCAGACAGGGCAUUUAUCAAGGAAACACUAGAAAUUUGAAUUGCUAUGCAGUGUUGAUGUGGAGGUCGCUUUUAACAGGGAAACACUAGAAAUCUCAUUUGCAUUACAGUGCUAACGUAGAGAGCAAUAUUUUCAGAGCAAUAUGCGGAGCGGACAGGGAAGUUGGUUUUAUCAAGGAAAUGCCAAAAAUCUGAAUUGCUAUGCAGUGCUGAGGUGGAGGUCACUUUUAACAGGGAAACCCUAGGAAUAUUAAUUUCUAUGCAGUGCUGACGUGAAGGUCGCUAUAACAGUUUCUACAAUAUUUAAGGAUUAAUGUGCUUCUAACUGAUGCUGUGAUGAAGAUACAUCCCGGAACCAAAUACAUCUGGCCAAAUUGGUACAGCCUUGAACUGCAAAAUGGCAGAGCUCCGAACUGCAUCAGCAAAAAAAAACAACAAAAAAACAAAAAAAUUAAAGUAGUUGUCACUAUAUUGCCACUUGAUUGUUUUACUGUAACUUCAGCCAAAAAUAAAAAUGUUGUAUUAUUUA